CAAACGACUCUCGGCAACGGAUAUCUCGGCUCAUGCAUCAAUGAAGAACGUAGCAAAAUGCGAUACUUGGUGUGAAUUGCAGAAUCCCGUGAACCAUCGAGUUUUUGAACGCAAGUUGCGCCCGAAGCCAUUUGGUCGAGGGCACGUCUGCCUGGGCGUCACGC
rnacentral:rRNA from 1 species